UGGGGAAUAUUGCACAAUGGGCGCAAGCCUGAUGCAGCCAUGCCGCGUGUGUGAAGAAGGCCUUCGGGUUGUAAAGCACUUUCAGCGAGGAGGAAGGUGGUGAACUUAAUACGUUCAUCAAUUGACGUUACUCGCAGAAGAAGCACCGGCUAACUCCGUGCCAGCAGCCGCGGUAAUACGGAGGGUGCAAGCGUUAAUCGGAAUUACUGGGCGUAAAGCGCACGCAGGCGGUUUGUUAAGUCAGAUGUGAAAUCCCCGGGCUCAACCUGGGAACUGCAUUUGAAACUGGCAAGCUAGAGUCUCGUAGAGGGGGGUAGAAUUCCAGGUGUACGGUGAAAUGCGUAGAGAUCUGGAGGAAUACCGGUGGCGAAGGCGGCCCCCUGGACGAAGACUGACGCUCAGGUGCGAAAGCGUGGGGAGCAAAACAGGAUUAGAUACCCGUGGUAAGUCCACGCUGUAAAACGAUGUCGAUUUGGAGGUUGUGCCCUUGAGGCGUGGCUUCCGGAGCUAACGCGUUAAAUCGACCGCCUGGGGAGUACGGCCGCAAGGUUAAAACUCAAAUGAAUUGACGGGGUCAUAGC
rnacentral:rRNA from 1 species